AGACCAUGAUGAGGACACUCUAAGAGGAGGUCUUUGAAUUGUUCCAUACACCAAGAGAAUGAUUCAUUGGGUUUCUGGCAAAACUGGAGAAUAUCUUUCCUAAGCUU
rfam:Cephalotus follicularis DNA, scaffold: scaffold93, isolate: St1.